CCUACGGGUGGCAGCAGUGAGGAAUAUUGGGCAAUGGACGAGAGUCUGAACCAGCCAAGUAGCGUGAAGGAUGACUGCCCUAUGGGUUGUAAACUUCUUUUAUAUGGGAAUAAAAUGUUCCACGUGUGGGAUUUUGUAUGUACCAUAUGAAUAAGGAUCGGCUAACUCCGUGCCAGCAGUCGCGGUAAUACGGAGGAUCCGAGCGUUAUCCGGAUUUAUUGGGUUUAAAGGGAGCGUAGGUGGAUUGGUAAGUCAGUUGUGAAAUUUUGGGGCUCAACCGUAAAAUUGCAGUUGAAACUGGCGGUCUUGAGUACAGUAGAGGUGGGCGGAAUUCGUAGUGUAGCGGUGAAAUGCUUAGAUAUCACGAAGAACUCCAGUGGCGAAGGAAGCUCACUGGACUGCAACUGACACUGAGGCUCGAAAGUGUGGGGAUCAAACAGGAUUAGAUACCCGGGUAGUC
rnacentral:rRNA from 1 species